rnacentral:tRNA from 1 species
ACUCUGUAGGUUAAUUAAACUUCAUAAAUUGCUUUUGUGAGAUAGGGGGUUGAAUA